UAAAGUUUGGCUCACUAACACCGAGGACGUGCGAUACGCGGAGGAAGGCGUUAUUUGCUCUGGCAAAACUGGUGUUGAUUUGAAGACCAUUUGCAGAUCUUAAAACACUCUGGGUUCACUCCAUGUGCAUGCAGGUGCCUGUGUUCUAAUCAUAAAAGGACCAUAUGUGAAAGAACCAUUUUUUGAGGCCAUACUAUACCUCAACCAUGAACAGUAUACUGAAGUUAUAUAUCUAUGGCACUGUGGUAUCACUGUUGGCUGUGUUUGUAAGUUUGAUGGAUUCAUUUGGCAGCUUGGUGCCCCAGCAGAAUAAUGGGGAGCGUCACUUCGGACAAAGAGCUUAUCAAGAUUGUUUUACCAAGAGACUGCUACAUCACCAGAAGCUCAUGAUCAGGCGAAAUAAAUCUGCAGGGGCAUAAAACACAGUAGUCUGGAAACUUCACGGUUACUAUUUCAAAUUGUUGGCAACCAAUUCAAGAUUUUUAUUUAAAAUUAAUUUUGUAUUAAAAAUGAAGAAUGUUUAAUGAAUUUCAGUGUUUGUAUAAAUAGUACAAUUGCAAUCUAUACCAAUUUUUUCUGAAAAUAUAUAAUUGUAGGUACAAUGUCAUGAGCAUAGUGGUCUAUAUACACUACACUAGGGAUUAAGAGCUGUCCAGCAUGUCCUGAGUCAGCUGUCACCCAUGAGACCACAGCCUGACCACUCUAGCCAAAGAUGAGGCAGGGCUUCUUUUAGUUUAUAUCACCAAACAUAAGAGUAACGCAGCAAAAUUGCCAGUGUUACCUGGACUCUUACACUCUUAAACUAACCCUCAAUACUGUACCAAUAAAAGGUGUGUUUCCAUUCUGUAUAUAUAGUGUGUAACUUAACACUAGUAUGCAUACUUGUUAAGGAUUAAUUAAACACUAUAAGGUAGUUUAACACUAAUGAGUUUACUUUGAUACAUAAUACUGAUUCCAUUAUCGAAUGAAAUUGGGUUAAAGAAUGACUUCUUUGCAAUCAUCAAGUUACAGACUUAUUAAUGAAUAUUCACAAAGCUAAAUCAGUCAAUUUAAUUCAGUUAAUGCAAAUCUAGUUUAUAAUAUUACUGUAUAUAGCAAAGUCAAUGCACUGGUAUCCACACACAACUGCAUAAUCAUAACAAUCAGAACUUUAUCUUUGGAGCUAUGUGUUUGAUAAUAACAGUUACACAGCCUCUCGCUAAACCUCUAGUUAGCUCAUCAGACUUAAAUAUAUUUUAAUAAAUAGUAUGGCAAUUAAUGCAAAUACUUCUAAAAAUCAAGAUGCUAAAAACAAAUAUAGUUCUCAGACCUCUGCAACCUUUUUAAGUGUUGCUCAGUUCAAAGUGAUAUACUGUACUGUGAUAAAAUGUAUACAAUAGGAAAUAAGCUUGAUGAACAAUGAGAAUAGUCUCCUCAUUUGUAAAAUCUGUUAUGUUGUAUCCAAAUUAUAUUUCUUCUCAACCUCACAUAUUGGACAUCAUUUUUAUAGGGCUGCUGGGAGAGACACCAGCCUCAUUAGGUGCGAGGCAGAUGCCAGUGCUUCCUGGAGUGCCAAUUCAUUACAAUGCCCAAUCCCAUAGUGCCAAUUCACUUAAAUUGCAUGUCUUUGGGGAUAUGAAAGGAAGACCAAAGUACAUGGAGAAAAAACAAAAGAGAAUAGACAACUGUCUGUAUGGACUUUUGCAAGUUUUAGAAGCCUGGGUGGAUUUUAUUUCAGAUGCUUCAUUUUUAUGCCGUAACCUAAAGACAUGUGUGUUGGUUAAAUGGCAAAUAGAAAUUGGUCCAAUAGGAUGGAGAAUGGGCGUAUGGGCUAAUGUAACCUUCCAGGAUUGGUUCUAAGUCUAGGCUGAUCUUCAGCUCUCUGAGAUAGAAAGGUUAACUGAAUGGAAGGAUAUCCUGAUUACUGGUCACCCAAGUGCUGAGGUUCAAAGCAGGGUGUAUUUCAUGGAAUGAAAAGAAGUCUGAGAAAGUGUGUUCUGUUGUUUAGUUAGUUUCAAACUUAUUUCUGUGAAGUUGAAUGUUUUCUUAUUCUUAAAUAAAACACUUAUCUAAAUUUUGCAAUAAUGAA